AAAUACUUGUGACUGGAUGCUGCCACUGGAAAUAUUAUUUAUUAUGUGCUGGUACAGCUGUACCAGAAGCUCUGACUUUAUUUUCUUGCUGCAAAUGUUUGCAAUCAUAGGACAAGUCACCUGUCAAUCAUCAUUAAGUUUGGUUCCACCCCUUGUUCAGGGCUCUGGGAGGGAAGGAGCCAUUUUUAAGUCUGUCUCUCUUAAGGAAGCUAAGCUAUAGGACGUAGACCAGCUUGUCCCGUAGAAAAGCUUCAUAUUUCAAGAACAUCCGGGGAUAUAGAACAUCUGAGGAAACAGAAACAGAAAUUCCAGGGGAAAAGUCCCAAAAGCUCUGGUUGAGAGCUUACAGCCUCUCAGCCUCACAGCUCCUGAGGGAAACAGCCCUAAGUUUCUAAAGACUCAAAGAGAGAACAGCAUCACAGAUCCACGGAACCUCAGCUGAAACAUCUGGAAGCCUUGGCUGGGUGGGUGCUGAAACUUCUGAGCCGGACCGGAGAAUCUGCAGUUGCCACAUAUGGUGGGGGGAGCUCAAAAUUGACCGUGGCCGCAUCCCCACCAUAUGCGACAACCAUAUGAAAGCAGCAAGGGCGGUGCUGUACAAGUAUGCUAGAAGAAAAUCUACUCGCCAGAAUUCAUGGAAAGAAGUGACUUAACACGAUCCCGAUGACAAGGGCCAACCUGAACGACGUUGAGGAGUCUCAAGCGCCUUCAAAUCAGUUAUUUGGUACCAGAGGAAGACCGUGUCUUCAAACAUAGGCCAUUUGGACUGAGGCUGAGGAUUGCUCCGGCAUUCACAGCCAUUGAGAAAGAGGGACCUGGAAAAGCUUCUCAGCUGCAGAGCGCCUUGGACUUAAGACAACCAAAGACUGUAAUGUAUAUUUUCCUUUACCCCUUUGAAACUUCCAGCCUAUUGCCUUAAAGGGAUAAGCUUUUGUGAACAAUAAAACCAGAUUUUGAGUUAUCUACAGUGUUUUGGUCCUUGGGAGUUCCAGUUUCCCUAAAGGAGGGCAAGAAGCAAUCCCCUGGGGAAAGAUGUCACGUCCAUGCCUCUUUCGCUAAGAGUU